GAUGAACGCUAGCGGCAGGCUUAACACAUGCAAGUCGAGGGGUAACAGGGAGAAGCUUGCUUUUCCGCUGACGACCGGCGCACGGGUGCGUAACGCGUAUAGAACCUACCUUUUACAGAGGAAUAGCCCAGAGAAAUUUGGAUUAAUGCCUCAUAGUAUUAUAGAAUGGCAUCAUUUUAUAAUUAAACAUUUAUGGGUAAAAGAUGGCUAUGCGUUCUAUUAGCUAGUUGGUAAGGUAACGGCUUACCAAGGCUACGAUAGAUAGGGGUCCUGAGAGGGAGAUCCCCCACACUGGUACUGAGACACGGACCAGACUCCUACGGGAGGCAGCAGUGAGGAAUAUUGGACAAUGGAGGCAACUCUGAUCCAGCCAUGCCGCGUGCAGGAAGACGGCCCUAUGGGUUGUAAACUGCUUUUAUAUAGGAAGAAACCUUUCCACGUGUGGAAAGCUGACGGUACUAUAAGAAUAAGCACCGGCUAACUCCGUGCCAGCAGCCGCGGUAAUACGGAGGGUGCAAGCGUUAUCCGGAAUCAUUGGGUUUAAAGGGUCCGUAGGCGGACUAAUAAGUCAGGGGUGAAAUCCAACAGCUUAACUGUUGAACUGCCUUUGAUACUGUUAGUCUUGAAUUAUAUGGAAGUAGAUAGAAUGUGUAGUGUAGCGGUGAAAUGCUUAGAGAUUACACAGAAUACCGAUUGC
rnacentral:rRNA from 1 species